rnacentral:rRNA from 1 species
GAGUUUGAUCGUGGCUCAUAACGAACGCUGGCGGCAGGCUUAACACAUGCAAGUCGAACGCCCCGCAAGGGGAGUGGCGGACGGGUGAGUAACGCGUGGGAACGUGCCCUGAGGUACGGAAUAACUGCGGGAAACUGCAGCUAAUACCGUAUGAGCCCCGCAAGGGGGAAAGAUUUAUCGCCUUGGGAGCGGCCCGCGUCGGAUUAGCUAGUUGGUGGGGUAACGGCCUACCAAGGCUUCGAUCCAUAGCUGGUCUGAGAGGACGAUCAGCCACACUGGGACUGAGACACGGCCCAGACUCCUACGGGAGGCAGCAGUGGGGAAUCUUGCGCAAUGGGGGCAACCCUGACGCAGCCAUGCCGCGUGAACGAUGAAGGCCUUAGGGUUGUAAAGUUCUUUUACCCGUGACGAUGAUGACGUAACGGGAGAAUAAGCUCCGGCUAACUUCGUG